UCUUCCUUUCCCAUUCUCAUCCUCUUAUCUUCUUCUCUUUCCAUUCCCCUAUGGAACAUUUCUCCCUUCAAUUGUGUAUGAGAUUAUAAAAAUCAAUGGUUUAAUUAAUUAGCUUAUCAUAAUUUCCAACUCUUUUUUUGUUGUUGCAUUCUCUGCUGGUCAUAUAUUUAUAUAGCUUCAUGGCAUAGGAGUCAUAUUCCAGUGGUUCCUUCACCAAAACGACUUAUUCCUUUUUUUUCAUUUGAAAAAUAUAAAAACAUAAAUUUAGCCUCAUAUAUUAAGCUUCAAUAUGUUCUAUAUGUAGGAACUUCAAAACCAGCGAAUGCACAAGCAGUUGGACAGUGGUGGGUUCCAAAACCUUCAACUAUAGAAGAGCAACUGAAGGACAACAUCCACUAUGUGUGUGGUUAAGUGGGGUUGGCUGGCUGCUCCUUCAUUCAAACUGGUGGAUCAUGCUUUUACCCUAACACUACCAUCAACCAUGCCUCUGUGGUAAUGAAUAUAUAUUACCAGGCUCAUGUUGGUUCAGAAACAAUGGUCUUAUCGCCAUUACUGAUCCAAGCUAUGGUAAUUGCAAAUUUGGGGUUUGAUCGGUGGAUAUAUGGAAGCUGAAGCAGUAUCGUGAAAUUAACACAGUUUCUUCCAAUUUCAAAAAUGUUAUUUGUCUUGAUAUGUCCAACAAUACUCCCUCCAUGUUAAAAUAAGUAUUAACUUAGCAAAAAAAAAAAAAAAAAUCCAAAAUAA